UUAAGCGACUAAGCGUACACGGUGGAUGCCCUGGCAGUCAGAGGCGAUGAAGGACGUGCUAAUCUGCGAUAAGCGUCGGUAAGGUGAUAUGAACCGUUAUAACCGGCGAUUUCCGAAUGGGGAAACCCAGUGUGUUUCGACACACUAUCAUUAACUGAAUCCAUAGGUUAAUGAGGCGAACCGGGGGAACUGAAACAUCUAAGUACCCCGAGGAAAAGAAAUCAACCGAGAUUCCCCCAGUAGCGGCGAGCGAACGGGGAGGAGCCCAGAGCCUGAAUCAGUGUGUGUGUUAGUGGAAGCGUCUGGAAAGGCGCGCGAUACAGGGUGACAGCCCCGUACACAAAAAUGCACAUGCUGUGAGCUCGAUGAGUAGGGCGGGACACGUGGUAUCCUGUCUAGAAUAGUGGGGGGACCAUCCUCCAAGGCUAAAUACUCCUGACUGACCGAUAGUGAACCAGUACCGUGAGGGAAAGGCGAAAAGAACCCCGGCGAGGGGAGUGAAAAAGAACCUGAAACCGUGUACGUACAAGCAGUGGGAGCACAGAGCAAUCUGUGUGACUGCGUACCUUUUGUAUAAUGGGUCAGCGACUUAUAUUCUGUAGCAAGGUUAACCGAAUAGGGGAGCCGAAGGGAAACCGAGUCUUAACCGGGCGUUAAGUUGCAGGGUAUAGACCCGAAACCCGGUGAUCUAGCCAUGGGCAGGUUGAAGGUUGGGUAACACUAACUGGAGGACCGAACCGACUAAUGUUGAAAAAUUAGCGGAUGACUUGUGGCUGGGGGUGAAAGGCCAAUCAAACCGGGAGAUAGCUGGUUCUCCACGAAAGCUAUUUAGGUAGCGCCUCGUGAAUUCAUCUCCGGGGGUAGAGCACUGUUUCGGCAAGGGGGUCAUCCCGACUUACCAACCCGAUGCAAACUGCGAAUACCGGAGAAUGUUAUCACGGGAGACACACGGCGGGUGCUAACGUCCGUCGUGAAGAGGGAAACAACCCAGACCGCCAGCUAAGGUCCCAAAGUCAUGGUUAAGUGGGAAAC
rnacentral:rRNA from 1 species